AAAAAGUUUUAUUUUAGCUUAAAAGUUAAUUUUAAAUUUAUAUUUAUAUGUAAAUAAAAGGACGAUAAAAAUGAUUUUAAAUAGAGAAUUUAAAUUCUCAGUAAAUAAUAUUAAAUAUUUAAGAAAUUAAGAUUUAGUAAUUUUUUGAAACAUUAACUAAAUUUGUGCCAGCAGUUGCGGUUAGACAAAUAAUGUUAGUUAAUUUAUUUUAAUUUGAAUUAUUUUUAAAAUUAUUAAAAUUUAAAUUUAGUAAAAUUAGGUGAAAUUUUUUUUAUUAAUUAUGUUUAUGUAAAAUUUAAGAAGUUAAGAAAUUAUUUUGUUAGACUAGGAUUAGAUACCCUAUUAUUAAUAAUGUAAUUAUAGUAAUUAAAUUAGUAUUAGUUUAUGUUCUUGAAAAUUAAAAGUUUUGGCGGUAUUUUAGUCUUUUCAGAGGAAUCUGCCCUAUAAUUGAUAGUCCACAAUUAAGUUGACUUAUAUUAUUAAUUUAUAUAUCGUUGUAAUAGAAUAUUUUUAAAGAAUGUGAAUAUUCAAAAUUUUUUAUUAAAAAAUAAAUCAAAUCAAGGUGUAGUUUAUAUAUAAGAAGAGGUGGAUUACAAUAAUUUAAAUUAUGGAUUUUUUAUUUUAAAUAAGAAUGAAAUUGGAUUUGAAAGUAAUUUUAUAUUUAUUUUUAAAAUGAUUUUGGCUCUAAAAUAUGCACAUAUCGCCCGUCGCUUUCAUUUAAAGUGAAAUAAGUCGUAACAAAGUAGAUUUACUGGAAAGUGUAUCUGGAUUGAC
rnacentral:ncRNA from 2 species